rnacentral:rRNA from 1 species
GUCUUAAUGUUUGUUUAUAUUAAGUUUUACCUGCUCAAUGAUUUUAUAUUAAAUAGCCGCAGUAUUUUGACUGUGCGAAGGUAGCAUAAUCAUUUGUCUUUUAAUUGAAGGCUUGUAUGAAUGGUUUGAUGAAAAAGUGACUUUCUUUAUAUUAAUGAUUGAAUUUAAUUUUUUAGUUAAAAAGCUAAAAUAAAGAAAAGGGACGAGAAGACCCUAUAGAAUUUUAUUUUAUUAUAAUUUAAUUAGUUUGGUUUAAUUUACUAUUUAAAAAUUAAAUAAAAUUUUGUUGGGGUGACAGUGAGAAAUUUUUAACUCUCAUAUUUAGUAUUUAUAUUAAUUAAUAUAUUUUUAGAUCCUAUUUUAAGGAUAAUUAGAUUAAAUUACCUUAGGGAUAACAGCGUAAUUUUUUCGGAGAGUUCUUAUUGAUGAAAUAGUUUGCGACCUCGAUGUUGGAUUAAAAUUAGAUUUAAGUGCAGCAGCUUAUUUUCUGGGUCUGUUCGACCUUUAAAAUUUUAC